rnacentral:rRNA from 1 species
UACGUAGGCAGCAAGCGUUGUUCGGAGUUACUGGGCGUAAAGGGUGCGUAGGCGGCCCUGUAAGUAUGGUGUGAAAUCUCCCGGCUUAACUGGGAGGGUGCGCUAUAGACUGCGGGGCUCGAGUGUGGGAGAGGAAAGUGGAAUUCCUGGUGUAGCGGUGAAAUGCGUAGAUAUCAGGAGGAACACCGGUGGUGUAAACGGCUUUCUGGACCAUAACUGACGCUGAGGCACGAAAGCCGUGGGUAGCAAACAGG